UCUUCGCUGUGCACGCAUUAUUAAUAAUAAUUAACAGUAAUAAAGUAAUGAUUGACAAGUAACAGUAACCUAAAUAUAUCAUAAUCCAUCCAACUGGAACUCGAGCCACAUAUCUUCAUGGAUUUCAUGGUGUAGUCAGACAUUCUCGAUAAAACCAACGCCGGUCGCUACGAUACUUCCGUCGACUGGGAAGGAGCUGCUGAAAUUAUCUCUGCGAGAUUGGCAAGACAUCGGCGGCGUGACGGGAGGCCGACUUCUAGCUCGACACUUAGGCCAUUUUGUUCUGCAGGGGACUGGUGUGCACACUCCCGAUCUGCUGCAGGAGAACGAGGAUAAUGUUGUGCGGCAGUACAGGAAGCAUCGUUGAUACACAGAAUUGCAAAUUUCUAUCAAUUCGAUCGAUCUCGUUCUCGCAUGCUGAGCUCUGAAAUCUCAAACGAAACUGUACGAAAACGGGAAAGCGUAGCGUCAUCUCUUCGGACGCGAAAGAAGAAAAGCAAAAAGUUUGAGGAGAUACGAUCUGGAUAAAUGUGUGAUUACUAUGAGCGAUCGUGACGCGCUCGCAAAAUCCAUUUGUACGGCCGAAUUGCGAAGGAAUCUCCACGGGAUCGGUCGCAUGCAUCGCAUCAUUUGGUCAGUAUUUCAUACCGAUGGGAGAAUUUGUCGUAUGAAAAUGUAACGCGGCGUAACUUCGUCUCCUCACGGUGCAUGCAACGUAUCGACGUAUCGAGGAGAGACAUUAGCGUAAAUUUCCCGGGUGAAAGAGGCGAAAGAAGGAUCGUAACUACUGGAGAUUACGACGUAUAGAGAUUAGGAGCGACGAUCGUCUUGUCGAUUGAACAAAACCCGAUGCGCGUAAUCGCAGAGAUGACGACGGGUCUGUCGCACGCUGGUUUUCGAAAGCGCCGUUUAUAUGGCACAGGAUUAGGCUGAGAUAUCAGCGCAUUCGUCACGUAAUGUGGAGAAUUCAGACACAUCCUCUACACCUUCAGCAGGACACCAGAUUACAUCCUUCGGCCGCUGCGAUUCUUUAUAACGGUAAAUUCAGAGGAAAGGAGAUAAGCAAGUGAAAGUAAAAAAAGAGAGAGAGGAAGGAAAAACGUCAGGAACUGUAUUAUGUAUAAUGUUAUUACAUUUAUAGGGUAUAAUGUUAUUACAUUUGUAGGGUGACAAUUAGAAUAUUGCUGAGAUCAAUUGGCUGUUAUUUGGAAACGCGCGAUUCAGUGAGAUAAAGUUUUACCUUAAAAAAGUCUAAGGACGCGCUAUUGAACGUAAUGAUCGACGAAUAACGUAAUAGGAUUAUAACAAUGGAAGAUCGCGUUAAGUAAUCGAAGAAAAUCGGAAUUUCUAAGUAUAAAAAAUUAACUUCCAAAAAAAUGUUAUAUUCUCCAUAUAUUAAGGAAGUCAAAAUAUCAUUUUCUUUCUAGUGUAAACCUGAUGGGAUAAACUUUUUUCUUCGCGAUGCUAAAGUGAAAUUGAAAAAGUGAAAUAGAUGCAAAUUCAGGCCUAAAAUGACAAAGAGCAGAUAUAAUUGUUACAGUAAUAUUCUAAUUGUCCCUCUGUAUGUGCAUAUGUAGCACACGCACACACAUGUAUACGUUGUAACCGAGACGAAAUAAUGAAGAAAGGUAAUUUUUGCGGCAAGAGAUAAAUGUAACAGUUUGUUUCGACGAAAGGGAAUAAGGAAUGGAAUAUUGAAAUGUUGAACAUAACUUCCUUUCACACAUGCGAUCGAGUCCGAGUCGACCGCGUUGCGUAAUGACGAUCACUGCGAGCGAUUUCGUGAACGUAACGGAAGAUCUUCACCGAUGAUGAUAGAUGGAAGAGUAUAAGAGACCGUGCGGUAUAGUAUCGUGAAUGGAAAGGCAAAUAUGCUGGAGAGAUGCGGCGACCAUCGCUCUUCUCUCUAGCGGAACAAACGACCUCGUAGCCAGAGAACGGGAUUUGGUGCAUGCGUGUUUCGUUU